UACGUAGGAGGCGAACGUUAUUCGGAUUUACUGGGCGUAAAGCGGGUGUAGACGGUUUCUUAAGUCGGGUGUGAAAUCUCCUAACUUAAUUAGGAGAGGUCAUUCGAUACUGAGAGACUUGAGGACAGCAGAGGAAGGCGGAAUUCCCGGUGUAGCGGUGAUAUGCGUAGAUAUCGGGAGGAACACCAGUGGCGAAGGCGGCCUUCCAGGCUGUUCCUGACGUUGAGGCCCAAAAGCGUGGGGAGCGAAACGGAUUAGAUACCCCCCGUA
rnacentral:rRNA from 1 species